rnacentral:rRNA from 1 species
GGUUAAGUGAAUAAGGGCGCACGGUGGAUGCCUUGGCACUAGGAGCCGAUGAAGGACGGGACUAACACCGAUAUGCUUCGGGGAGCUGUAAGUAAGCUUUGAUCCGGAGAUUUCCGAAUGGGGAAACCCAGCAUCUUUUAUAGGAUGUUACUUUUCAGUGAAUACAUAGCUGAUUAGAGGUAGACGCAGAGAACUGAAACAUCUAAGUACCUGCAGGAAGAGAAAGAAAAAUCGAUUCCCUGAGUAGCGGCGAGCGAAACGGGAAAAGCCCAAACCAAGAGGCUUGCCUCUUGGGGUUGUAGGACUCCGAUAUGGUAGUCCAGUGAGAUAGUCGAAGGACCUGGAAAGGUCUGCUAGAAAGGGUAAAAGCCCCGUAGACAAAAUUUGACUGGCACCUAGGAGGAUCCUGAGUACGGCGGAACACGAGGAAUUCCGUCGGAAUCCGGGAGGACCAUCUCCCAAGGCUAAAUACUCCCUAGUGACCGAUAGUGAACCAGUACCGUGAGGGAAAGGUGAAAAGCACCCCGGAAGGGGAGUGAAAUAGAUCCUGAAACCGUGUGCCUACAACAAGUUAGAGCCCGUUAAUGGGUGAUAGCGUGCCUUUUGUAGAAUGAACCGGCGAGUUACGAUUACUUGCGAGGUUAAGUUGAAAAGACGGAGCCGCAGCGAAAGCGAGUCUGAAUAGGGCGAAUGAGUAAGUGGUCGUAGACCCGAAACCAUGUGAUCUACCCAUGUCCAGGUUGAAGGUGCGGUAAAACGCACUGGAGGACCGAACCCACGUACGUUGAAAAGUGCGGGGAUGAGGUGUGGGUAGCGGAGAAAUUCCAAACGAACUUGGAGAUAGCUGGUUCUCUCCGAAAUAGCUUUAGGGCUAGCCUCAGAGUAAGAAUGAUGGAGGUAGAGCACUGUUUGGACUAGGGGCCCAUCUCGGGUUACCGAAUUCAGAUAAACUCCGAAUGCCAUCCAUUCAUCUCUGGGAGUCAGACUGUGAGUGAUAAGAUCCAUAGUCGAAAGGGAAACAGCCCAGACCACCAGCUAAGGUCCCCAAAUAACUAUUAAGUGGAAAAGGAUGUGGGGUUGCACAGACAACUAGGAUGUUGGCUUAGAAGCAGCCACCAUUUAAAGAGUGCGUAAUAGCUCACUAGUCGAGUGACCCUGCGCCGAAAAUGUACCGGGGCUAAAUAGUUUACCGAAGCUGUGGAACACACCAAUGGUGUGUUGGUAGGAGAGCGUUCUAAGGGCGUUGAAGGUAGAUCGUGAGGACUGCUGGAGCGCUUAGAAGUGAGAAUGCCGGUAUGAGUAGCGAAAGACAGGUGAGAAUCCUGUCCACCGAAUGACUAAGGUUUCCUGGGGAAGGCUCGUCCGCCCAGGGUUAGUCGGGACCUAAGCCGAGGCCGAAAGGCGUAGGCGAUGGAUAACAGGUUGAUAUUCCUGUACCCGUUGUUUUUGUUUGAGCAAUGGAGGGACGCAGGAGGCUAAGGAAUCAGACGAUUGGAA